ACACUCUAUCCACUGAACCAAACCAGCUAGGGUAAGCCAUGAAUAUUUUAAACGCAGUGUGCGAAGACAUACUCUGAGUUAUAUAAUUCAGUGGCACAACU
rnacentral:snoRNA from 1 species